rnacentral:lncRNA from 1 species
UUUAGAUCUUGUCCGUAGACCUCGGGAAAAUUUCUAUGUGUCUAGGAGUCCUCAUCUGUGAAAUGGAAAUAAUACUUACCUCUGAGAAUAGUUGAAAGGAUAAAGAGAAGCUGUGUGUAAAUUUUUCUGCACAGUACAGGGCACAGAGUGAACAGUGAAUUAAUAGCAGCUACUAUUAUGAAUAACAGGAUUUUCCCCAGAAGGCCAAGGCUGCAGUGAGCUGUGUUUAUGCCACUGCACUCCUACUUGGGUGACAGAGCAAGACCCUAUCUCAGAAAACAGCCAAAUGAAGUUGCUGUAGGUAAAUUUUUCCUAUGGAUUGAAAAAUGUCCACAAAGAAAAGUUUUGCUACCUUCUGUUUCAUGAAUCUGAGUUAAAUUCCUAAACGAGGAGGGGAAAUUCCAUCUUGUUCCUUUCUUUAUACAUUUAAAA